rnacentral:rRNA from 1 species
AUCAGAGUGCUCAAGCAGUCGCAGGGCCCUGUGCCCUGUGAACAGUCUUGACGGACUGACUUGGUUUUGCAUGGCAUGUCGGAAGACGACGUCUAACGCUGGCUCAGAGAGAUUGUGCAAGUGGUAUAAGCCAGCCUAGAUGUACUGAUUAACAGGGACGGUCGAGGGCAUUGGUAUUGCCGGGCAAGAGGUGAAAUUCUAUGACCCCGGCAAGACCUCCUGAAGCGAAAGCGUCUGCCAAGGAUGUUUUCAUUAAUCAUGAACGAAAGUUAGAGGAU